rfam:Dipodomys ordii contig_53285, whole genome shotgun sequence.
GGUGGUUCAGUGGUAGAGUGCUUGCCUUGCAUGCAUGAGGCCCUGGGUUCAAUUCCUCAGCACCA